GGGCGCGUGGUGGAGUGGUUACCACGUCCGCUUUGCAUACGCAUCAGCGCACUAGCGGUAGGUCGCGGGUUCAAAUCCCGUCGUGUCCA
rnacentral:tRNA from 1 species